rnacentral:misc_RNA from 1 species
AAAAUAUCCACAAUCUCAGGAAAGGAAUGCAUGUCGGUUGCCCAACUCCAAGCGAGGAGAGAGGGCCUUUUUUCUUAAAGAAAUCAUUUGACGUUUUACAGAGCCAAUUACAAAGUUUUAAAUUUGACUAACGGGUAAUUUAAAAGUAAUUUAUAAAUAUCGAUUUGUCAAAAGUAUUUGGGUAACGUUUUGUAAAGACUGGCGCGGGAACUGGGCAAGCGGAUUACUGGGGCUUGGAGAAAGCCUCGGGUAGCCCGCUAGUGUAUUGGGGGUGAAAAUUGACUCGGAUUAAAAACUGAAAAGACGAUAGAUAAACACAGUGAACGUCAAACGAAGGUAGUCUUACCCCUAAAGUUACCGUUAUCUCGACAAAAGGUGUCAGUGUUCCAAAGUGAUUACUGCAUUUAUUAACAUUACAGAGGUUUCAAGGGAAACAUGUAGAAUUUAUUCACAGUAAAGAGCGAGAGUUUGCUCCGGAAGUAUGUACUGGGACAAACCGAGCGGAGACCGGAGGUCGCCGAGGUCACCCAAGCUGCUGACCCGGAAGACGAAGUCUGCGCGAGAGCUUUACCGCCCCGCCAUCAAAGACCUGUGUGAGGAAACCCGUAAUGUGUACCCGUAUCCAGACGAAAAUACAGUGCCCUUCCCUGUACCAGGUCCGGCCAUUAGCGAACCAGAUUUGUAUGAAAGGGUACUUACAGACAGGGAAGGUUCUGAAAACACACCGGAAGUAACGAAAGUACAUCCAGCGUUCUCAAUCAAUCAGCGCAUACAGGCCGCGGUCAUUGAGGCGGACUGUUACCGGAACAGGAUGCCGACGUCAGCAUCGAACCGACUGCGCCUGCUCAGCACGUUUAAGCGCCCUAGAAGUGUGGACAGUUACUUUGCGCCGCCUCCCCAAAACGACGGCCACCUAGACCAAAGUAUUCAAAUAACAAACUUACCCAACAUGCAUCACUCACAUAAACCUUACCGGAAAAGAACUGCACCAAUACAAAGCAACACAACACACGUGUAUGAGAAUUGUCACCGGCCGCAAAUUCGCCAUGUUGUUCAAAAUGGAACGAUGCUAUCAGACGGAACUUGUGGGAAAAUGAACGGUUUCCACGAGUACCUAAUAAGUAAACACCCCUCAGUGAAGCAGAGAAUAUCCUCGUGGCUAACUGACGGACUAAAAGUACAGAGCAUAAGACUGAAAAACUCCAAGCGAGAAAUGAUAUCAAGACAUAAGCCCGCGGGAAAACUGAGGAACAACAUAACGGAACGAAAACUGUUCAUUCACAGAGACUUGUCCGAACAGGAAGCGGAAGGAGAGGAAAUCGAAAGCAAGAUUUUUGAACUUCGGAUCUCCUCUAUACAGCCCUCUGGGUGAUAGGGCGUGUUUUAACAUCGGUCAUCAAAUGUUCUGGUGUUUUGUUGUUGUUGAGAAUAUUUUAUUAUCGUGUUUGCUGGGUAUAAUGUUUAACUUAAGUUCACUAUAUCCGUGGAAUGUGACAAUUCCAAAGAAGCUUAGCAGACGUAUUCGGUAUUUGUUAUAGAUUUACACAGAAUUCAUUAAUGAUUUAUAUUUUUGCGUAGAUGGGAUAUUAUCUAUUUUCAAAAAAUCUUGCUUUAUGUAUUAUAGUCACAGACAUAAACUGUUAACAGUUGUUAAAAUAGACUUUUAUUCAAUCUGGUGUCUUGCAGAUUCCCUGCACUGGAAUAUUUUAAUAGAAUUAUGAGAAACAAAUUGCAGACGCAGAUAGAUUGAAGUUUUAUCUAUAUAUGUCUAUAAAUGAGAAUAGAGAAAAAUAUUAAAGGGUCUGGGUUAUUAAUUUAAAAACAACUUGCAAAUGUUCCUUGCUUUGAACUCAUUCUCAUACCGAGUAUGCCAGAACAUGAUGCCAAUGGUUACGUCACGAGAUGAUGGGAUUGAAAAAGCAUAUCUACUUCAGUGGGCUUGAGAAAAUGACAGUAAAAAGUUGUAAGUUUGGAAAGAUCUUUCUUGGUAUGAAUGUCAGUAACAAUUACAUGAAGACAGCUGUUAAAUUAGAUUUAUAAAUUUAUCUUUUAUAUAAAAUAAAGCAUGCCUUU